rnacentral:rRNA from 1 species
CCUACGGGAGGCAGCAGUAGGGAAUAUUGCGCAAUGGGCGAAAGCCUGACGCAGCGACGCCGCGUGAGUGAUGAAGGCCUUCGGGUCGUAAAGCUCUGUUGUAAGGGAAGUGGUACCUUAUAAGAAAGGACCGGCUAACUUCGUGCCAGCAGCCGCGGUAAGACGAGGGGUCCUAGCGUUGUUCGGAAUCAUUGGGCGUAAAGCGCAUGUAGGCGGCCUAUCAAGUCAGGUGUGAAAUCCCUGGGCUCAACCCAGGACGUGCACUUGAUACUGGUGGGCUUGAAUAUAGGAGAGGAUAGUGGAAUUCCUGGUGUAGUGGUGAAAUACGUAGAUAUCAGGAGGAACACCGGUGGCGAAGGCGGCUAUCUGGCCUAAAUUGACGCUGAGAUGCGAAAGUGCGGGGAUCAAACAGGAUUAGAUACCCUUGUAGUC